rnacentral:lncRNA from 1 species
AAGGCCAGCCUGGACUACAUAGUGAGACCUUGUCUUGAAAAAACAAAAAACCAAAAACAAAACACAGGCCUCUCUAAGCUACUUUGCUUUGGGAGUGCCGUCUGGCCAGACUAAGGUCUGUUUUACUUUCCAACUUGUCCGGUGUGUUCCUUCCUGGGUGUUCUUCGCUGCAGUCAGCUCCUCGGAGCGUUUGGUAAGGCCCUCAGUCUUACAUUUUGGAGGCCCCAGCGAGAUCCCCGGGUAAGGAAUCCCGGUUCAGCUGAGUCUCUGUGGCGGGAUCCAGCAGGAGACUCUCAGGCACAGACCUCAGAAAACCUCCGGAGCAACUGCAACAACCCAAGCACUUGAAGUCCUUCACCCCUAUCAUAAAGCCUGGACCAAGCCAAAUGACCCAAAUGUUACCCCAGAUUAUGGUGCCAGCGACAUGAAA